GAGUUUGAUCGUGGCUCAGGAUGAACGCUGGCGGCGUGCCUAACACAUGCAAGUCGAACGGAGUUCUUAAGGAAUGCGGCUUCGGCCAAAUGACUUUUGAACUUAGUGGCGGACGGGUGAGUAACGCGUGAGCAACCUGCCUUUCCAGAGGGGGAGUAACAUUUGGUAAACAGAUGCUAAUACCGCAUAAGAUUACAGUACCGCAUGAUACAGUGAUCAAAGGAGCAAUCCGCUGAAAGAUGGGCUCGCGUCCGAUUAGAUAGUUGGUGAGGUAGCGGCUCACCAAGUCGACGAUCGGUAGCCGGACUGAGAGGUUGAACGGCCGACAUU
rnacentral:rRNA from 1 species